rfam:Pseudomonas putida KT2440 complete genome.
CUGCAGAUUUUUUUCACAGACACGUCGCAAAUCUUGUCGGCGCGGAGUCAAGCAACAUUUUUUUUGCAGUUCUUGCGCUCUGUCAGUUUACUUACUACAAGUAAUGGGUACUAUGUACGCCGGCCAGUUUCUCUUUCCUGAGAGA